GCCUUCGUGGUGUAAUGGUUAGCACACUCGACACGUAUUCGGGAGGUCCAGGUUAGAGUCCUGGCUAGGGCA
rnacentral:tRNA from 1 species